rnacentral:rRNA from 1 species
AUUGCACAAUGGGCGCAAGCCUGAUGCAGCGACGCCGCGUGAGGGAUGACGGCCUUCGGGUUGUAAACCUCCUUCAGCAGGGGAGAAGCGAAAGUGACGGUACCUGCAGAAGAAGCGCCGGCUAACGACGCGCCAGCAGCCGCGGUAAUACGUAGGGCGCGCGCGUUGUCCGGAAUUAUUGGGCGUAAGGAGCUUGGAGGCGGUUUGUCGCGUCUGCUGUGAAAGCCCGGGGCUUAACCCCGGGUUUGCAGUGGGUACGGGCAGACUAGAGUGCAGUAGGGGAGACUGGAAUUCCUGGUGUAGCGGUGAAAUGCGCAGAUAUCAGGAGGAACACCAAUGGCGAAGGCAGGUCUCUGGGCUGUAACUGACGCUGAGAAGCGAAAGCAUGGGGAGCAAACAGG